CAGCGUCUCAAGUAGCAAUCGCUUUUAUUGGGCCUAAAGCGUCCGUAGCCGGCGUGAUAAGUUUCUCGUGAAAUCGGUAGACUAAAUUUAUCGGCGUGCGAGAAAUACUGUCAUGCUAGGAACUGGGAGGAGUCAGAGGUACUCAUUGGGGAGCGGUAAAAUGUUAUAAUCCUUUGAGGACCACCUGUGGCGAAGGCGUCUGACUAGAACAGAUUCGACGGUGAGGGACGAAAGCUAGGGGAGCAAACCGGAUUAGAUACCCGAGUAGUCC
rnacentral:rRNA from 1 species